UUACCUACGGGGCGCAGCAGUGAGGAAUAUUGGUCAAUGGCCGAGAGGCUGAACCAGCCAAGUCGCGUGAGGGAUGACGGCCCUACGGGUUGUAAACCUCUUUUGUCGGGGAGCAAAGAGAGUCACGUGUGGCUCAUUGAGAGUACCCGAAGAAAAAGCAUCGGCUAACUCCGUGCCAGCAGCCGCGGUAAUACGGAGGAUCCGAGCGUUAUCCGGAUUUAUUGGGUUUAAAGGGGGCGCAGGCGGGCUGUUAAGCCGGCGGGAAAAAUUCAGGG
rnacentral:rRNA from 1 species